rnacentral:misc_RNA from 1 species
GCCUUGAGCCUUUAAUAACUAUGCCUCUUAAUUGUUCAUAAAGGGAAAAUCCUUUCAAUCCAACAAUUAAAGCCCAUCAAUUUUACCCAUCAACAACUCGAUUAAUAAAAAUAAAAACGAGAAUCUAAACAGCAUAAACCCUACCGCCAUGUUAUGAUCCAUCUGCAAACAGAAGAACAGACCCAACAGCACAAUUGAGAUAAAUUGAUCACAACAAGAAAAUUAGGUAACACCGGUAUCCACAGAUUGCAGUCAACAACAAAUCAACCGCAGAAUUCACCAAAAGAAAAAAAAAAUCAAUGAAAAGAGAACUAAACCCACC